UACAGAGGAUGCGAGCGUUGUCCGGAAUCACUGGGCGUAAAGGGCGCGUAGGUGGCGACCCAAGUCGAUGGUGAAAGCUCGCCGCUCAACGGCGAGUCGGCCACUGAUACUGGGUUGCUGGAGCACUGUAGAGGCAGAUGGAAUUCCGGGUGUAGCGGUGGAAUGCGUAGAGAUCCGGAAGAACACCGGUGGCGAAGGCGGUCUGCUGGGCAGUUGCUGACACUGAGGCGCGACAGCGUGGGGAGCAAACAGG
rnacentral:rRNA from 1 species